rnacentral:misc_RNA from 1 species
CGAGAGGGUGUCACCGCUCCCAACCCACUGUUUACCUACCCGUCCACCGUGCUUCGGCAGGCAGUCCUGUGGGACAGGGCCUCGCCCCCGCGAGGGGGUGCCUGCCGCUGGCCAACCAAAAAUUCUAGCUGUUUUUGUACCAUCUGAGUCUUCCACAAAUAAACA